AACGAACGCUGGCGGCAGGCCUAACACAUGCAAGUCGAGCGAGACCUUCGGGUCUAGCGGCGGACGGGUGAGUAACGCGUGGGAAUAUGCCCUUUGGUACGGAAUAGCCUCGGGAAACUGAGAGUAAUACCGUAUGUGCCCUUCGGGGGAAAGAUUUAUCGCCAAAGGAUUAGCCCGCGUUGGAUUAGGUAGUUGGUGGGGUAAUGGCCUACCAAGCCUACGAUCCAUAGCUGGUUUGAGAGGAUGAUCAGCCACACUGGGACUGAGACACGGCCCAGACUCCUACGGGAGGCAGCAGUGGGGAAUCUCAGACAAUGGGGGAAACCCUGAUCUAGCCAUGCCGCGUGAGUGAUGAAGGCCUUAGGGUUGUAAAGCUCUUUCAGCUGGGAAGAUAAUGACGGUACCAGCAGAAGAAGCCACGGCUAACUCCGUGCCAGCCGCCGCGGUAAGAC
rnacentral:rRNA from 1 species